rnacentral:rRNA from 1 species
GUCGAGAAUUUUUCACAAUGGGCGAAAGCCUGAUGGAGCGACGCCGCGUGGGGGAUGAAUGGCUUCGGCCCGUAAACCCCUGUCAUUUGCGAACAAACCUCGUUAUUUAAAAGAUGACGAGUUGAUAGUAGCGAAAGAGGAAGGGACGGCUAACUCUGUGCCAGCAGCCGCGGUAAUACAGAGGUCCCAAGCGUUGUUCGGAUUCACUGGGCGUAAAGGGUGCGUAGGUGGUCGGGUGAGUCUGAUGUGAAAUCUCCGAGCUUAACUCGGAAAUGGCAUCGGAUACUGCUCGGCUUGAGGGUUGGAGGGGGGACUGGAAUUCUCGGUGUAGCAGUGAAAUGCGUAGAUAUCGAGAGGAACACCAGUGGCGAAGGCGAGUCCCUGGACAACUCCUGACACUGAGGCACGAAAGCCAGGGGAGCAAACGGGAUUAGAAACCCCGGUAGUCC